rnacentral:rRNA from 1 species
GACGAACGCUGGCGGCGUGCUUAACACAUGCAAGUCGAACGGAAAGGCCCUGCUUUUGUGGGGUGCUCGAGUGGCGAACGGGUGAGUAACACGUGAGUAACCUGCCCUUGACUUUGGGAUAACUUCAGGAAACUGGGGCUAAUACCGGAUAGGAGCUCCUGCUGCAUGGUGGGGGUUGGAAAGUUUGGGCGGUUGGGGGUGGACUGGCGGCUUAUCAGCUUGUUGGUGGGGUAGUGGCUUACCAAGGCUUCGACGGGUAGCCGGCCUGAGAGGGUGACCGGCCACAUUGGGACUGAGAGACGGCGCAGACUCCUACGGGAGGCAGUAGUGGGGAAUAUUGCACAAUGGGCGGAAGCCUGAUGCAGCAACGCCGCGUGCGGGAUGACGGCCUUCUGGUUGUAAACCGCUUUCGCCUGUGACGAAGCGUGAGUGACGGUAAUGGGUAAAGAAGCACCGGCUAACUACGUG